GUAUUUGCCUCUUGAUGAUACUUUCUGCUUCACACGACCCUGUAAAGAGAGCAAUUUAAUUGGUCUUGUACAAGAUCACUGUAUCAAUACAUUGCAGAUACCGAUUUGUUACGUAUCUUACAACUAGGACUCGACCAUUUCAGACUGGCAUGCCUUACUUAGAUGAUGUUAGCUGGUUAAUCUGAAUUUGGCAGUCAGACGAAGGUGGGGAUAUCAUACAGAAACGUAUCCACCGAUGAUCUCAUGCUCACUGAAGUUUUCCUAAGUAGAAUACAAGAUAGGGUUUCCUGGAAUUCUUUGUCCGGAGAAGGAGCAAUCAGGGAUCAAAUACAAUAACUGAAAGCCAUCAAUUCUGAACCUGGCAUCAGAAUAGUUUACUUCAUUCAUUAUGAAUCUCAGUUAACCAAAUUCCCCACAGGCAAACAGAAGAAAGAUCGCCUAAACCUAAUCUGAAGUGAUGUGCUUCAUCUGUAUCAGCCAUGAAGAAUCUACAACUAAAGCUCAACAUACGAUGAACACCGAGUUUCGAAUCCCUAGUAACUGUUGAAAACUCCUCCACUAAAACUAAAAGAGAAAGAAGGUACAUAAAUUACAUCAUACUAAGCUAAGCAAUCUGGAGCUCAUCAACCACCUCUCUGAUCAAUCACAAUCGAAGAACAGCAUGAUUUUCGCCAUAUCAUCCAGGUUUAGCUAGCUAGAUUCCACAGUUAAUUGGUUAAUACCCUUUUUUGUUAAAGUCCCUAACUUUACUUACUACACAGUCACACAUUAAGCCAGAUCCUUCUCAGACUUCAAUUUCACAUAAGAAUGAAUCAAUUAACCCGUACGCCAUUCAAAUGCAACAGGUAGUUGAUGCUCUUCAUGAAAUAACCUCAAUUCCAAGACGAUACAUAAAUACGAUACUAACCUGGGGAAUAGGCUGUUGAAUCACAGAUUCAACAGCAAACACCAUAGCUUGAACGAAAUCAUCACCUCCAGUUCCAAUGGCAGUAAACCCUCUAACCGUAGGAUACGUAUUAACCU
rnacentral:lncRNA from 1 species